rnacentral:tRNA from 1 species
GGGGAUGUAGCUCAGUGGUAAAGCAGUUGUCUAGCAUGUACAAGGCUCUGGGUUCGAUCCCCAGUAUCACCU